rnacentral:tRNA from 1 species
GUGAGUAUAGCUCAGUGGUAGAGCACAUGCUUAGCAUACAGGAGGUCCUGGGUUCAAUUACCAGUACCUCCA